rnacentral:rRNA from 1 species
AGUGGAAAUGGAAAACACUUGGUCAAGCUACUAAGGGCGUACGGUGAAUGCCUUGGCGCUAACAGUCGAUGAAGGACGUGGUAAGCUGCGAUAAGCCUCGGGGAGCCGCAAACAGGCUUUGAUCCGGGGAUUUCCGAAUGGGGAAACCCGCUCCGGGUAAUCUGGAGCAUCCGGCUUAAUUCAUAGGGUCGGAAGGCAACGCGGGGAAGUGAACCAUCUCAGUACCCGCAGGAACAGAAAACAAGACAGUGAUUCCGCUAGUAGCGGCGAGCGAACGCGGAAGAGCCCAAACCAGGGGGCAUGCUCCCUGGGGUUGUAGGACCUAUCAGGCCGUGAGGCCGCCGAGUCAGAAACCGGAUUGAUAGUCGAACCCUCUGGAAAGUGGGACCAUAGCAGGUGACAGUCCUGUAGGCGAAAUCAAUCCGGCUCGGUGGGUAGGCACCUGAGUACCGCGGGACACGUGAAAUCCCGUGGGAAUCUACGAGGACCAUCUCGUAAGGCUAAAUACUCGUUAGCGACCGAUAGUGAACCAGUACCGUGAGGGAAAGGUGAAAAGCACCCCUGUGAGGGGAGUGAAAUAGUACCUGAAACCGUAUGCCUACAAGCAGUCGGAGGGCUAUACAGGAGCAAUCCUGCACGCCUGACGACGUGCCUUUUGCAUAAUGAGCCGGCUAGUUAUUCUCAGUGGCGAGGUUAAGCGGAAGCGAGCCGUAGCGAAAGCGAGUCCGAAAUGGGCGAUUCAGUCGCUGGGAAUAGACGCGAAGCGAGAUGAUCUACCCUUGGCCAGGAUGAAGCGCGGGUAACACCGCGUGGAGGUCCGAACCGGUGUUGGUUGAAAACAGCUCGGAUGAGCUGAGGGUAGGGGUGAAAGGCUAAUCAAAUUUCGUGAUUGCCCGUUCUCCUCGAAAUGCCUUUAGGGGCAGCCUCGGAAGGUCGGCGAUGGCGGUAGAGCACUGAAUGGACUAGGGGCCUUACCAGGUUACUGAAUCCAAUCAAACUCCGAAUGCCAUCGACACGUAUUCCGGGAGUGAGACUGUGGGGGCUAAGCUUCAUAGUCAAAAGGGAAACAGCCCAGACAUCCGACUAAGGUCCCAAACUCUAUGCUAAGUGGUAAAGGAUCUGGAGACACACAGACAACCAGGAGGUUGGCUUAGAAGCAGCCAUCCUUUAAAGAAAGCGUAAUAGCUCACUGGUCAAGUGGCUCCGGGCCGACAAUGUAACGGGGCUCAAGCAUAGGACCGAAUCGAUGAAUAGCGGAUCUUGCGAGGUCCGCGAUUGGUAGAGGAGCGUUCUCUUCGCCGCGAAGUCAGACCGUGAGGACUGGUGGAGCGGAGAGAAGUGACCCUGCCGGCAUAAGUAGCGAUAAGGGAAGUGAGAAUCUUCCCCGCCGUAAGCCUAAGGAUUCCUGAGGUAGGUUCGUCCGCUCAGGGUUAGUCGGGAGCUAACGCGAGGCCGAAAGGCGUAGCGGAUGCACAUCCGGUUAAUAUUCCGGAACUACCAGACGAUCGUUAUCACGAUGGGGGGACGCAGGAGGCUAACCAGGCCCGGGUUCGGAUGUCCGGGUUGAGGCCUGUAGGGGGAACCGGUAGGCAAAUCCGCUGGUUCACAUACCCUGAGGGGUCGAAGCGACGCCGCAAGGCGAUAAAGCUGGUGACGCCACGCUGCCGAGAAAAGCCUCUAAGGAGAUCGUUUGGUACCCGUACCGCAAACCGACACAGGUAGGCGAGGAGAAAAUCCUCAGGCGCAAGUGAGAAUCCACGUUUAGGAACUAGGCAAAAUUACCCCGUAACUUCGGGAGAAGGGGUGCCCCGUUAUUGUCACUGGCCUCGCGCCAGGAAGCAUGAAGGGGUUGCAAUAAAGAGGGUCAAGCGACUGUUUACUAAAAACACAGGGCUCUGCUAAGUCGAAAACGACGUAUAGGGUCUGACGCCUGCCCGGUGCCGGAAGGUUAAAAGGAGAGGUCAGCCGCAAGGUGAAGCCUUGAAUUGAAGCCCCGGUAAACGGCGGCCGUAACUAUAACGGUCCUAAGGUAGCGAAAUUCCUUGUC